rnacentral:rRNA from 1 species
GACGAACGCUGGCGGCGUGCUUAACGCAUGCAAGUCGAACGGAAAGGCCCUGCUUUUGUGGGGUGCUCGAGUGGCGAACGGGUGAGUAACACGUGAGUAACCUGCCCUUGACUUUGGGAUAACUUCAGGAAACUGGGGCUAAUACCGGAUAGGAGCUCCUGCUGCAUGGUGGGGGUUGGAAAGUUUCGGCGGUUGGGGAUGGACUCGCGGCUUAUCAGCUUGUUGGUGGGGUAGUGGCUUACCAAGGCUUUGAAGGGUAGCCGGCCUGAGAGGGUGACCGGCCACAUUGUGACUGAGAUACGGCCCAGACUCCUACGGGAGGCAGCAGUGGGGAAUAUUGCACAAUGGGCGGAAGCCUGAUGCAGCAACGCCGCGUUCGGGAUGACGGCCUUCGGGUUGUAAACCGCUUUCGCCUGUGACGAAGCGUGAUUGACGGUAAUGGGUAAAGAAGCACCGGCUAACUACGUG